AUACGGAGGGUGCGAGCGUUAAUCGGAAUUACUGGGCGUAAAGCGCGCGUAGGCGGUUUGGUCAGUCGGAUGUGAAAGCCCUGGGCUCAACCUGGGAAUGGCAUUCGAUACUGCCUGACUAGAGUAUGGUAGAGGGAAGUGGAAUUUCCGGUGUAGCGGUGAAAUGCGUAGAUAUCGGAAGGAACACCAGUGGCGAAGGCGACUUCCUGGGCCAAUACUGACGCUGAGGUGCGAAAGCGUGGGGAGCAAACAGGAUUAGAUACCCCGGUAGUCC
rnacentral:rRNA from 1 species